UUUCAAGUUGUCAAAAGAUUUGUAUAUAAUACAAUUAAAAUUCUCCCAAACUUUUGUGCACCUAUACUUCCCAAAAUUACCACACCCAUCAAGUUACCUUUCUCCUAGAAAAAAUGAAGCAAUCAACUCAAAUAUUAGACAAGUUAGAUUGUCACCCAGGCCUUCGAUUCAUCGGUUGUCCCCAUCUUAAUGUUUAUAUAUUUUUGUUUUUUCUUAUAAUUUUUUUCAAUAAUUAAUAAUAUUAAAAAGAUAAUUAAAGAUUACAAACGAUUUUUUAGCUUUUAUCUUUCUUUUUUCAACAAGUGUUUGAUUUUAAAAACUCUAGGUAUUUAAUCAGUCCAUUUAAAGGUUUUAAUUGUCCAUCAAUAUACUUAGAUAACAUUUAAAAAAAAUGUUGGAAGAAACAUUUGGCAUUUUUUAUUUCUUUGAAACAUUAUAUUUCUAGAGAGAGAGAAGUCAAUCCUCACUCUGUGAUGAGUGACGGCUCAACCCCUAAUUCCAUAUUCGUGAUUUUGCUGAGAAUCUAUAAUUUAUUUAUUUUUUCAAUUUGCUCCUUUAUUAAUAUGAGUAAAAAGUUUCAUUGAUAACUUAACUUUGAAUAUUGUCAUGUUGUGGUCAUUGUACUUUAAUCUGCUUUUGAACGGUCAUUGAACUUACCAAAAGUGCCAUCCAUUAGUGACUCGGCAUCUAGUCGUUUGAAGCUAAGUUGAUAUGGCCACACGACAUCUGACUUGGAAGUUAACAAUGUCUCCAUAUAGCCACAUAAUGAGUUGCUCUUCCCAAAUGGCUUUUUUCUUUACUUACAAAUCAAACAAACGAUAUAUCCCCUACACAAAUGUAAAUCAGAAGCCCCAAAUCAAAAAAUUUUCCCCAAUCACAAACCCUAGAUCGUUAAUUGAUCUACCAAAAUUUGAUUCAAAACCGCGAAGGGAAUCACCAAAUUGAGAACGUUGACAAAAUCACACAAGCCCAGCUGCUUCUGCCCAUUGUGAAGUAUUGCAGUCAUUUCAUGUGGAAAUCGAAAGGUGAUUCGAGUUGUGGUUGUUCAGAUACAUGUAAGGCUAAUCAUCCGGAGCGAGAUCCGUCGUGCACGUUUGAGCAAUGGGCUACCAUCAUAGAGAAAAAAGACGUUGAGAUCUCCAUUAACAUCACUAUCCAGAAGGGAAAAGGAGUGACGGAAAAGGGAAUGGUUCCGUGAAUUAUUUCCGCCACUGUGACGAGGCAAAGACUUUUGUUGGAGUUAUCACAUCCCAUUUUUUUUGUAAUCAGCACUAAACUUGUUGUAAAUUAUGUUUUUUGUACGUCAAUGUCGUUUUAGUAGUUCACUUUGUUUUCGAACUCUUGUUGUAUGUUGAUGGCGAAAACUUGUCGAUGUGGUUUAUUUGAAUGCAUAAACAAUAUCUAUUGUGUUUGGUUUUUA